rfam:Cavia porcellus supercont2_12 genomic scaffold, whole genome shotgun sequence.
GUCUACAGCCAUACCACCCUGAACGCACCCAAUCUCUUCUGAUCUCGGAAGCUAAGCAGGGUCAGGCCUGGUUAGUACUUGGGAGAAUCAAACAUAUCUUUUUUGAGGUUCCUUCCUAGCAGUCUUUGGUGUCAUUCAAU